CGUAGGGUGCGAGCGUUAAUCGGAAUUACUGGGCGUAAAGCGUGCGCAGGCGGUUAUGCAAGACAGAUGUGAAAUCCCCGGGCUCAACCUGGGAACUGCAUUUGUGACUGCAUGGCUAGAGUACGGUAGAGGGGGAUGGAAUUCCGCGUGUAGCAGUGAAAUGCGUAGAUAUGCGGAGGAACACCGAUGGCGAAGGCAAUCCCCUGGACCUGUACUGACGCUCAUGCACGAAAGCGUGGGGAGCAAACAGGAUUAGAUACCCUGGUAGUCCACGCCCUAAACGAUGUCAACUGGUUGUUGGGAGGGUUUCUUCUCAGCAACGUAGCUAACGCGUGAAGUUGACCGCCUGGGGAGUACGGCCGCAAGGUUG
rnacentral:rRNA from 1 species